rnacentral:rRNA from 1 species
UACGUAGGGGGCGAGCGUUGCCCGGAUUUAUUGGGCGUAAAGAGCUCGUAGGCGGCUGUCUAAGUCGGGUGUGAAAUCCCAAGGCUUAACCUUGGGUCUGCAUUCGAUACUGGGUGGCUUGAGUCUGGUAGGGGGACCUGGAAUUCCUGGUGUAGCGGUGGAAUGCGCAGAUAUCAGGAGGAACACCGGUGGCGAAGGCGGGGUCCUGGGCCGGUACUGACGCUGAGGAGCGAAAGCGUGGGGAGCAAACAGG